rnacentral:rRNA from 1 species
ACCAUGAAGAGUUUGAUCCUGGCUCAGGAUGAACGCUAGCGGCGGGCCUAAUACAUGCAAGUCGAGGGGCAGCACAGGUAGCAAUACUGGGUGGCGACCGGCGGACGGGUGCGUAACACGUAUGCAACCUGCCCUAUACUUGGGAAUAGCCCGGAGAAAUCCGGAUUAAUACCCAAUACGAUGUGAAAAGGCAUCUUUUUGCAUUGAAAGCUCCGGCGGUAUAGGAUGGGCAUGCGUCCGAUUAGCUUGUUGGUGAGGUAAUGGCUCACCAAGGCUACGAUCGGUAGGGGGCCUGAGAGGGUGAUCCCCCACACUGGUACUGAGACACGGACCAGACUCCUACGGGAGGCAGCAGUAAGGAAUAUUGGUCAAUGGGCGCAAGCCUGAACCAGCCACGCCGCGUGAAGGAUGACGGCCCUAUGGGUUGUAAACUUCUUUUCUACGGGGAUAAAUCUCAUUACGUGUAAUGAGUUGAAGGUACCGUAGGAAUAAGCAUCGGCUAACUCCGUGCCAGCAGCCGCGGUAAUACGGAGGAUGCAAGCGUUAUCCGGAUUCAUUGGGUUUAAAGGGUGCGUAGGCGGGAUGGUAAGUCAGGGGUGAAAGCCAACAGCUCAACUGUUGAAUUGCCUUUGAUACUGCUAUUCUUGAGUAUGUUUGAAGUGGGCGGAAUGUGACAUGUAGCGGUGAAAUGCGUAGAGAUGUCACAGAACACCGAUUGCGAAGGCAGCUCACUAAGCCAUUACUGACGCUGAGGCACGAAAGCGUGGGGAUCAAACAGGAUUAGAUACCCUGGUAGUCCACGCCGUAAACUAUGAUAACUCGACGUUGGCGAUAUACAGUUCAGCGUCCAAGCGAAAGCGUUAAGUUAUCCACCUGGGAAGUACGAUCGCAAGGUUGAAACUCAAAGGAAUUGACGGGGGCCCGCACAAGCGGUGGAGCAUGUGGUUU